rnacentral:rRNA from 1 species
AUUGAACGCUGGCGGCAGGCCUAACACAUGCAAGUCGAGCGGAUGAAGGGAGCUUGCUCCUGGAUUCAGCGGCGGACGGGUGAGUAAUGCCUAGGAAUCUGCCUGGUAGUGGGGGAUAACGUCCGGAAACGGGCGCUAAUACCGCAUACGUCCUGAGGGAGAAAGUGGGGGAUCUUCGGACCUCACGCUAUCAGAUGAGCCUAGGUCGGAUUAGCUAGUUGGUGGGGUAAAGGCCUACCAAGGCGACGAUCCGUAACUGGUCUGAGAGGAUGAUCAGUCACACUGGAACUGAGACACGGUCCAGACUCCUACGGGAGGCACCAGUGGGGAAUAUUGGACAAUGGGCGAAAGCCUGAUCCAGCCAUGCCGAGUGUGUGAAGAAGGUCUUCGGAUUGUAAAGCACUUUAAGUUGGGAGGAAGGGCAGUAAGUUAAUACCUUGCUGUUUUGACGUUACCAACAGAAGAAGCACCGGCUAACUUCGUG